CCUACGGGUGGCUGCAGUGAGGAAUAUUGGUCAAUGGCCGAGAGGCUGAACCAGCCAAGUAGCGUGCGGGAUGAAUGCCCUACGGAUUGUAAACUUCUUUUGUCAGGGAGUAAAGCCACUUACGUGUGGGUCUUGGAGUGUACCGGAAGAAUAAGGACCGGCUAAUUCCGUGCCAGCAGCCGCGGUAAUACGGAGGAUUCGGGCGUUAUCCGGAUUUAUUGGGUUUAAAGGGAGCGUAGGCCGCAUGUCAAGCGUGCGGUGAAAUGGCCGGGCUCAACCCGGGCCGUGCGGCGGGAACUGGAGGGCUUGAGGACGCGGAAAGCAGGCGGAAGGCGGCGGGUAGCGGUGAAAUGCUGAGAUAUGACGAAGAACCCCGAGUGCGAAGGCAGCUUGCUGCAGCGGAACUGACGCUGAUGCUAGAAAGCGCGGGUAUCGAAAAGGAGUAGAUACCCGAGUAGUC
rnacentral:rRNA from 1 species